GCAGCUCAGUGGUAGAGAACCUGCUUUGAAUGCAGAAGGUUCCAGGUUCAAUCCCUGGCAUCAUCA